GACCUCUUAGCUCAGUGGUAGAGCGUGUGAUUCCAGCUGCUUACGUAAUCUUGGCUUCCACAAGGCCACCCGUUCGACUCGGGUAGGGGUCA